GGCUGAUAAGUAGGCAAAUCCGCUUAUCGUGAAGGCUGAGCUGUGAUGGGGAAGCUCCUUAUGGAGCGAAGUCUUUGAUUCCCCGCUGCCAAGAAAAGCUUCUAGCGAGAUAAAAGGUGCCUGUACCGCAAACCGACACAGGUAGGCGAGGAGAGAAUCCUAAGGUGUGCGAGAGAACUCUGGUUAAGGAACUCGGCAAAAUGACCCCGUAACUUCGGGAGAAGGGGUGCUUUCUUAACGGAAAGCCGCAGUGAAUAGGCCCAAGCGACUGUUUAGCAAAAACACAG
rnacentral:rRNA from 1 species